rnacentral:pre_miRNA from 1 species
AGUGGAAUAGCUGGGUCAAAUUAUGGUUCCAUUCCAAGUUUUUUGAGGAAUUUCUAUACUGCUUUCCAUAGUGAUUGCCCAAUUUUCACUCCCACUGGCAAU